CUAGCCCACAAAAUCCCCCAUCCUCCUGAAACCCCUCAUCUCCGGUCUUCUACGCACCAACACCGCCGAUGCAAUUAACGUGAACCAAGUACCUCUUCUCUCUCUAAUAAAGUUGGUUGCAAAUCUUUGUUUUCUAUAGCAUGAUUCUGAAUCGGAAGUGAAGAACCAGAGAGCAGUGCUUGUAAAAGAAAUGGGAAGGUUCACAAGAGCUACCAGUGAUGAUAUGCAAACUCGGUUACAUGAAGAUCUUAAUUUUGAUGGUAUAUUUGAGUGAUUUUUUUUUUCAUCUCCAUUAGCACCUAACGGUUACUAAAGUAAACAUUGGUUGCUUAUAAUAGUUUGCUCGGACUUCAAAUUCGGCUAUAUUGUUGAUUCUAUAAAUGAAGGGAAGACCCAUGAAAAUUACAAGCUCGUCAAGAUCAUUGAAGAAGUUUUUGAGAUUAAUUUUAAGUGGCACAUGGCACAGUGCAAACAACCAAAAGGCAGUUGGGAAUGUGGGUAUAUGGUAAUCAAACAAAUGAAAGAGUUUAUCGACUCUAUACAACAUGAUUUGGUUAACCGACUUUGGAAUGAAGAAAGCUAUUUUGAAGAAUCUCAAAUUGAGAAUUUAGUGGUAGAUUUAAUGUUGGGAUUUAUUAAAAAGAUGUUUUGAUCUUGUAAACAUUAGUUUGUGUUUCAUACUUUUGUAAUUCCGUAUACUUGAACGGGUUGUUGGGUUGUUUAAUACUAGUUAACUUUUGUCAUGAGCAUGUGCAUUUGUGUGUAAUUGGAAUUAUAUUGGGAAAUAUUACUAAAAAUUCUGGAAUUUUGCAAAAAUAUUAAAAAUUUAU